rnacentral:lncRNA from 1 species
CCAUCGCUUGGUGCCUUAACACGGUGUGGGGGAAAGAGCAGAGCAAGUGAAGUCAAGAAGCCUUAACUUCACAAUUUCCUGAAAUCCCACCAUCCUUUGCAUUCCAUUUUUUCCUCUUCCUUAUCUUCUCAUUUAGCGUACAACUGAAAAUAUGUUAGUGUUGACCCAGAGCAUUCCACUGAACUUGUAAUUACAGUUAUCUUCGGAGGGAGGUAUUAGGGAACUGUCCGAUUAUGCAUUAUGCAAUUGUGAAAUGCUUGAAUGUUUUUGUAAGUGUGUACAGCUUUCAGAAUCAAGGAAUAAUCGAUAAAAUAUCUAAAAGGAAGUCUAAACAAUUUGGGAAGAGCUGGGGCAAGUGUCAGGAUCGCCAUGUGUUCCCAUACCCCAGCAGGGUGGGUGUAUCCAUCGCCAUUAUUCAUCGAGUUUCUGGUCUUGGUUUCUUCUGGCCCCAACAGGCAUGUGUCUAGAAGAAGUCAGGGGUGUGAGGUAAGGGUGCAGCUAAGUGGGGCAGGGGGCGGGGGGUCCUGCAGGAUCCUCGGCAUCCACUUCAGCUUGCUGUGGGCCUGAGGCAGGCCCCCCUGACUGCACCGCUUAGAAGGGGUGCAGCUUCCAGAUCUCCAGGCCAGCAGGGCGUUCGAGGUCACUCUUCUAUCAGCCACAUGAUGACAGAAAUCUGAGGCUUGUGCAAAGGCUACUGUCUUUUUGUUCAUGCUUCUCUUUAAGAUACACAUCUAAUACUUGCACACUGAAUGGAUCUGCAGAAUGGCUAUUUCUGUGCCCUAGGCCUCCCAUCUGUCUGAUAAGAGCAUGCUAGUGCUGUGGCUCAGGACUUUAGUGUAUCUUUUUGAAAGACGCAGUUGAAGUCAUAACACCCAGAAAUUCAAGAUGUCGCUGUCAGUAGCAUAGCUGGAUUCAGCACUCAAGUCUUGGGUGAAAUGCAUUUGUGUUUGCUUUGAAAGUUUGUUUUCUUGUUACCUUGACCGGAAAGAUCAUCCUGAGCAUGAAAUACUGGGCAAAUUAUUUCACCUGCUCCAGGCCUGGCUGGCUCUUCUCUGUAAACUGGAGUGUUAACACCACCUCCUGCCUGGAGAUGCUGUCCAGACAAACCCAGGUGGCAGUGUGCUUGCCGUGGGUGUGUGUGUGUGUGUGCUUGCCGUGGGUGUGUGUGUGUGUGCUUGCUGUGCGUGUGUGUGUGCGCGUGUGUGCAUGUGUGCAUGCGCGUGUGCGUGUGUGUGUCUGCACGUGUGUGUGCACAUGUGUGUGCGUGUGUAUCACUGUCUAACCAUGGCAUCUGGUGGAUCCUUGCAGUCCAGCUGUCUGUUGCCAGUUGUGUUGGUCAUCUUGGGGCUGCCAUGACAAAGGACCAUAGACUGUGUGGGUCAACCCACAGGAACUGAUUUCUCACUGUUCUGGAGGCUGAAGUCUGGGAUCAGGCACCAGCAUGGCCACUUCCUGGUGAGGACUCCCUUCCUGGCUUGUAGAUAGCUGCUUUCUGAUUGUAUCCUCACAGGGGGAAGGUGGUGGGGUUGGGGAGACGGAGAGCUGUUGAGUCUUCUUAAGAGGGCACUGGUCCCAUGAGGAGGAUUCCACCUUAUGACCUCUUCUAAAUCUAAUUAUCUCCCAAUGGCCCCAUCUCCAGAUACCAUCACACUGGGGGUCAGGGCUUUCAGAGAUAUCAUCAAACCGGAGGCCAGGGCUUCCAAAGAUACUGUCACACCAAGGUCAGGGCUUCCACAGCUACCAUCACACUGGGGGUCAGGGCUUCCACAGGUACCAUCACACUGGGGGUCAGGGCUACCACAGAUACCAUCACACCGGGGCCAGGGCUUCCACAGAUACCAUCACACCGGGGUCAGGGCUUCCACAGAUACCUUCACACCGGGGUCAGGGCUUCCACAGGUACCAUCACACUGGGGGCCAGGGCUUCCACAGAUACCAUCACACAGGGGUCAGGGCUUCCACAGGUACCAUCACACAGGGGCCAGGGCUUCCACAGAUACCAUCACACAGGGGUCAGGGCUUCCACAGAUACCUUCACACCGGGGUCAGGGCUUCCACAGGUACCAUCACACUGGGGGCCAGGGCUUCCACAGAUACCAUCACACUGGGGGUCAGGGCUUCCACAGAUGCCUUCACACCGGGGCCAGGGCUUCCACAGGUACCAUCACACUGGGGGCCAGGGCUUCCACAGAUACCAUCACACAGGGGUCAGGGCUUCCACAGGUACCAUCACACAGGGGUCAGGGCUUCCACAGGUACCAUCACACAGGGGUCAGGGCUUCCACAGAUACCUUCACACCGGGGUCAGGGUUUCCACAGGUACCAUCACACUGGGGGCCAGGGCUUCCACAGGUACCAUCACACUGGGGGCCAGGGCUUCCACAGGUACCAUCACACUGGGGGCCAGGGCUUCCACAGAUACCAUCACACAGGGGUCAGGGCUUCCAUAGAUACCUUCACACCGGGGUCAGGGCUUCCACAAGUAGCAUCACACAGGGGUCAGGGCUUCCACAGGUACCAUCACACCGGGGCCAGGGCUUCCACAGAUACCAUCACACCGGGGCCAGGGCUUCCACAGAUACCAUCACACCGGGGCCAGGGCUUCCACAGAUACCAUCACACCGGGGCCAGGGCUUCCACAGGUACCAUCACACCGGGGCCAGGGCUUCCACAGGUACCAUCACACCGGGGCCAGGGCUUCCACAGGUACCAUCACACCGGGGCCAGGGCUUCCACAGGUACCAUCACACCGGGGUCAGGGCUUCCACAGGUACCAUCACACAGGGGCCAGGGCUUCCACAGGUACCAUCACACAGGGGUCAGGGCUUCCACAGGUACCAUCACACAGGGGUCAGGGCUUCCACAGGUACCAUCACACUGGGAGUCAGGGCUUCCACAGAUACCAUAACACAGGGGUCAGGGCUUCCACAGGUACCAUCACACAGGGGUCAGGGCUUCCACAGGUACCAUCACACAGGGGUCAGGGCUCCACAGGUACCAUCACACUGGGAGUCAGGGCUUCCACAGAUACCAUAACACAGGGGUCAGGGCUUCCACAGGUACCAUCACACAGGGGCCAGGGCUUCCACAGGUACCAUCACACAGGGGUCAGGCCUUCCACAGAUACCAUCACACAGGGAGUCAGGGCUUCUACAGAUACCAUCACACAGGGGUCAGGGCUUCCAAAGAUACCAUCACAGUGGGAGUCAGGGUUUCCACAGGUACCAUCACACAGGGGUCAGGGCUUCCACAGAUACCAUCACACAGGGGUCAGGGUUUCCACAGGUACCAUCACACGGGGGUCAGGGUUUCCACAGGUACCAUCACACGGGGGCCAGGGCUUCCACAGAUACCAUCACACAGGGGUCAGGGCUUCCACAGACACCAUCACACCGGGGUCAGGGCUACCACAGAUACCAUCAC